GUGUAUGAGAAACAAACUUGCAUAUGCCCAGAGUGGGCAUUACAUGGCUUCUGGUCCUGUCCCCACAGAUAGCAUGUAUCUGGAGCAAAGGGGGAUAAAUAAGUGAUCUUAUUAUGUGGCAUCUUCUCUUUGCCUCAAACCUGGCAGAUUAUCUUAGCUAUAAAAAUACAGAUGGAAUCAGCAUUUUGUAUCAAUAUAAUACUUAAUUAUUCUCUGUAUUUGUUGUAGCUGUUCUAAAGAAAUCCCAGUGGUGGUUCUGCUGAAAUUUGUUUCAGAAGGAGAUAAUAUCCCAGAUGCAUUAGGUCUUGUUGAGUAUCUUAACGAAUGGCUUCAGAUAAUCAAACCAUGUUUACAGUGUGAUGACCCCACAAAAUCUGCCUUGCAGUGGAAAAUGCCAAGUUCGUGGAGAUUACUCUUUGGCAGUGGUCUUCCCCCUGCACUUUUUUGAUCUUUUUUCAGUUUUAUACUUUAUGUCCCAGGACACUUAUUACCAACACAACUGUUAAACAACUAUAUAAAAACUUAUCUGAGAAUGUAUUAGAAAAUAAAUCUUUACUUUUCACAAAAAUCUCAAAGAAAAUGGAUUAACAAAAAUUUGUUUUGCCAUGCUUUUCACUAUAUACACCAGAUGUAAAUUUUGUACAAUAAAAUAUUUCCUAAGUAA